rnacentral:lncRNA from 1 species
CAGAACCUCACCCAGAAGAUGCCAUGAAGAUCAGUUGUGACUCAGACAGCGGAACGAACAGGGUGGCAAAGGAGGCACAAGGCUUGGGUUGGUGAUUUGCCUUUGAUUUUUCCAGAUUACAGUUACAUCUACACCUGAUCAAAAUGCAGUUGAGAGGGAGCAGAGGUGAGGCGCUAAGAAAUGAGCACAUGCAUGAUGAUUACCUGUCACGAUGGCUGAACUUUUAGAGCUGGUAAAUGCCGUCGUAUUCCUGGCACCACUGGAGUCUAUGAAAAAUGUAAGUCUUUAUUGCACACAAGUCCUUCUCAACAGACUUUAUCCUGUUUGUCCAUGGAAGAAUCUUUACAGUCUUUCGUCAAACAAUAGGAGUGAAAACUCUGAUAACAGGCAUGUGUUCUUCCUCUGGAGUUCUGUUGAUAACAAGCAUAAGCCCAUGGUUCGAAGUUUAAUAUACAGCAUAUAUAGGAUGCCUCUAAAAACCAUUUGCAGGGAGUCGAGAGCAGGUGAAGNUUUUGCCGUUGUCUUCUGCUUGAAGAUGUCCAGAAGUGAUUGGAGGGCCACUGUGUGAGACAGGAUGCUGGAGUAGAUGGGCUGUGGCCUGAUCCAGCAGGGCUCCUCUUACCCUUGCUCUCUCCAGGUUGGAGAGGCAGGCAGGAUGUCUC